rnacentral:rRNA from 1 species
AACGAACGCUGGCGGCAUGCCUAACACAUGCAAGUCGAACGGGAACGCCGGGUCUUGUGGCGCUCGGGGAGGUAACGAGGGGGAAGCAUCCCUUAGGUUACCUAUAACUCCCCUUAAGAGAUGCUAAUACCGGUGAAUGUCAUUCGAGCAAAGGUUUAUCGCUUUUGGAUGGGCCCGCGUUGGUUUAGCUGGUUGGUAGGGUAAAAGCCUACCAAGGCGACGAUCCUUAGCUGGUCUGAGAGGAUGACCAGCCACACUGGGACUGAGACACGGCCCAGACUCCUACGGGAGGCAGCAGUGGGGAAUAUUAGACAAUGGGCGAAAGCCUGAUCCAGCAAUGCCGCGUGAGUGAUGAAGGCCUUAGUGUUGUAAAUCUCUUUUACCCGGGAUGAUAAUGACAGUAACGGGAGAAUAAGCUCCGGCUAACUCCGUG